rnacentral:lncRNA from 1 species
GAAAAAAAGAAAGAAAGAGGGAAGGAGGGAAGGAGGAGAGAAAAGAGAAGGAAAGGAAAGGAAAAGAAAAAAAACAUGCCAACAACCCUUAUCAAUUGAGACAAAGCAAGUCUGCCUCUGCCUGGAUUAAAGAAGAUGUGACCGAUGUGACCAGUAUGCCCCUGACUGCAUUGGACACAGCAGCGGGACAGCUUCUAUCUGGGCUGAAACAGAGGCAGUAAAGAAACACUCCCAAGCCUCUCACUAACCAAGAUCAUGGUGAUACACCAUGGACGGCACUGGGGAGGAUGAAGCAGGAGAGUGGAAAGUUUUACAAACAAAAGCCUGACAGAGGGAAUUGAGCUAGCCUGGUGUGGACAAGGUUAUGACCAGGUAUGCAGGGUCUCAGUAAUCAGAACCACAACCUGACUAAAGACACACUUGGACUAGUGAGAAGGCUA